rnacentral:tRNA from 1 species
GGUGGUAUAGCCAAGUAGGUUUUUAAGGCAUAGAACUGCAAAUUCUUGAUCCUCAGUUCAAAUCUGAGUGCCAUCU